rnacentral:misc_RNA from 1 species
AUUCAAGGUGAUUAUUCACGAGAAAUGUUGAUGCUACAAAGAAUCAGGUCUUACAUUGUCUUUCUAGAAACUCGGGCUUCAGAGCAUUCAAAAUUGAAGGGACAAGUGAAUCACUACAUCUUUACCGACUCAGAUAUAGCAGUGGUUGAUGAUUUGGGGCAGAUAUUUAAUGAUCACCCUGAUUUUCAUGUGGCUCUAACAUUCCGUAACAACAAAGAGCAACCUCUGAAUUCAGGAUUUAUAGCAGUGAGGGGCACUCCGGAGGGAAUUUUAAGAGCAAAGUUUUUCUUAG